CUAAUACAGGCCUUUAAGUUUUUAUUCCAAAGUACAAUGCACACACAUUGGAAAAAUAGUAUCAAAAUAUAUAUACAAAAAUAACAACUGUUUGCACUGGACUGAUUUCAUAAAAAUAAAAAGAGUGGGCAGUUCAGAGAAAGUUUUGUUAUAGGUUACAAUUGAAGAGCUGGGAUACGUGAAAUAUCCAAGUGGAUGUUCAGUUACCAUGACGACUAAAGAACAGUGGAUAAAAUCCAUUGUUGCCCUACAGAUGGGGCCCAAUUCCCCACUGCCCUAUGAUUUACACCUGGGCAAAAUGGGUGAGCCACUCUCUAUGGUGCAUAGUCUUAUACUUUAUCCCCUUUAAGGGCCAGGGUGUCUGGGGCUGGCCAGCCCUGUUCAGUUAUCAGACCCAGCUGGGAAGGGGGAAGGUGAUCCUUAUGAAAAGGCUGAGAAAACUGCUGAGGAGAGCUGUUGUGGGCCCUGAAGGGAAGGGUGAGUCCUCCUUUCCCCCCAGAGAGGCAAGGGGAAAGUCUAUGGGAGUUACAGCACAGGAUGGGCAGAGGAACUGCUUUUGGUUUUGAUAUUUUGCCUAUAUUUUACCUGCAGGGGAGAGACUUGAGUGUGGCAGUGAGUCCUUCCUGAGGAGGUCAGGAAAUCAAAACUGAAGGGAAGGGAAACUGAGGCAGCAGAGAGCUUGAAGCCAGAGCAGAAUGUACCACUCCCCGUCAUUAAGGGAAGUUUGCUCCUUGACCUGAGAAUACCGCUCAGAAACAAGUGUCUUCCCCUGAGGUCUCAUGGGUGGAUCUGCCUGAAGUACCUUCCUGUGAUACAGCGAUAAGACAUCUGUCUUAUUGAAUAACAUCAAUCAAACCUUAACCAUGCCAUGUCAGAAAGUGUGGGUUGUGACUGACUCAUCAACACAUCUUGCGCAGAGUGUGCUUCUCCAGUCCCAAGAAGUGCCUAGAUCUGGGAUCUGCAUCAGGACCCUUUGGUGCAAGGUGCUGUAUACACAAACAGUUUCAUUAACUUUUCCAGCUAUGGGUAGGAAUGAAAAUGCUGCAUGUUUCUGCUGUGCUCUUCAUCUCAGCAUCUUAAAGUACCUGGCAAGCAUCAAUUACUCUGAGCCUCUGAUCGAGAUCUUUAUUUCUGUACGAUACAAGAAGGCUCCUCCGAGGACCUGGCUCACCAACUCGGCAUUUGGAUAGCUUGCAUAAAAGCCUUCAAAUGAGUGCCUUAUUUUCCUCGCAGUGGCGUGACAGCAGGCAUAGCUGAGCUUCAAGAGUCUCCUGUGAACAGCAGGAUUUGAACCUGUGACUUUCAGCAUCCAGCGCACAGGCUUCUACCUUAUGAG